ensembl:snoRNA
AUGCAGUGAUGAUCUCUUUAUUGUGGUUUCGACUCACUGAUUGUUGAGUGAAGACGAGAUUUUCCUUGGCUGUGUCUGAGCAU